CCUACGGGAGGCAGCAGUGGGGAAUAUUGGGCAAUGGGCGAAAGCCUGACCCAGCAACGCCGCGUGAAGGAAGAAGGCUUUCGGGUUGUAAACUUCUUUUGACAGGGAAGAGCAGAAGACGGUACCUGUCGAAUAAGCCACGGCUAACUACGUGCCAGCAGCCGCGGUAAUACGUAGGUGGCAAGCGUUGUCCGGAUUUACUGGGUGUAAAGGGCGUGUAGCCGGGCUGACAAGUCAGAUGUGAAAUCCGGGGGCUCAACCCCCGAACUGCAGUUGAAACUGGUGGUCUUGAGUAUCGGAGAGGCAGGCGGAAUUCCUAGUGUAGCGGUGAAAUGCGUAGAUAUCAGGAGGAACACCAAUGGCGAAGGCAGCCUGCUGGACGAUAACUGACGGUGAGGCGCGAAAGCGUGGGGAGCAAACAGGAUUAGAUACCCUAGUAGUC
rnacentral:rRNA from 1 species